UAAUUGAAGAGUUUGAUCAUGGCUCAGAUUGAACGCUGGCGGCAGGCCUAACACAUGCAAGUCGAACGGUAGCACAGGGGAGCUUGCUCCCCGGGUGACGAGUGGCGGACGGGUGAGUAAUGUCUGGGAAACUGCCCGAUGGAGGGGGAUAACUACUGGAAACGGUAGCUAAUACCGCAUAACGUCGCAAGACCAAAGUGGGGGACCUUCGGGCCUCACACCAUCGGAUG
rnacentral:ncRNA from 1 species